AUUGAACGCUGGCGGCAGGCCUAACACAUGCAAGUCGAACGGUAACAGGAAGCAGCUUGCUGCUUCGCUGACGAGUGGCGGACGGGUGAGUAAUGUCUGGGAAACUGCCUGAUGGAGGGGGAUAACUACUGGAAACGGUAGCUAAUACCGCAUAACGUCGCAAGACCAAAGAGGGGGACCUUAGGGCCUCUUGCCAUCGGAUGUGCCCAGAUGGGAUUAGCUAGUAGGUGGGGUAACGGCUCACCUAGGCGACGAUCCCUAGCUGGUCUGAGAGGAUGACCAGCCACACUGGAACUGAGACACGGUCCAGACUCCUAUGGGAGGCAGCAGUGGGGAAUAUUGCACAAUGGGCGCAAGCCUGAUGCAGCCAUGCCGUGUGUAUGAAGAAGGCCUUCGGGUUGUAAAGUACUUUCAGCGGGGAGGAAGGGAGUAAAGUUAAUACCUUUGCUCAUUGACGUUACCCGCAGAAGAAGCACCGGCUAACUCCGUG
rnacentral:rRNA from 1 species